CCUACGGGAGGCUGCAGUGGGGGAUAUUGCACAAUGGGGGAAACCCUGAUGCAGCGACGCCGCGUGGGCGAAGAAGUAUUUCGGUAUGUAAAGCCCUAUCAGCAGGGAAGAAGAACUGACGGUACGUGGGGAAGCAGCAACGGCUAAAGAGGAGACAGCAGCCGCGGUAAUAGGUAUGGUGCAAGGGUUAUCCGGAUGUACUGGGGGUAAAGGGAGCGCAGGCGGCACUGGAAGCCUUAUGCGAAAGCCCGCGGCCCCACCGCGGGACUGCAUUGGGAACUACCGGGCUGGAGUGCCGGAGAGGUAGGCGGAAUUCCUAGUGUAGCGGUGAAAUGCGUAGAUAUUAGGCGGAACACCAGUGGCGAAGGCGGCCUACUGGACUGUGCCUGACGCUGAGGCUCGAAAGCGUGGGGAUCAAACAGGAUUAGAUACCCUAGUAGUC
rnacentral:rRNA from 1 species